rfam:Picea glauca, whole genome shotgun sequence.
CUUUUUAUUUUCUAGGGAGAUCCGAUAAAAUUGGAACGAUACAGAGAAGAUUAGCAUGGCCCCUGCGCAAGGAUGAUACACACAAAUCGAGAAAUGGUCCAAUUUUUU